rnacentral:misc_RNA from 1 species
ACCUAGCUGCUGUCGAAGCUCCWCUACAAAUGGAUAAGACUUUGGUCUUAGUAUAAGUGUAGUUGAGUUUUUGAUUGCAAAAUAAAGGAGCAAUAACCAACACUCKUGAUAGAAUAAGAAAYUGGUUAUUGUUCCUUUAUCUAGUGSUCUUUUCUUUACAUAAGUGUUUCUUUACUUCAACAUAAGAAAAGGUAUUCGAGUCUUAGGAAUUGGUUUAUGAUUGCGUAUCAUACUUUAGAUAUGAAUUUCUAAUUUAUAUACUUCUUUUCMACCCUUUGUAAGUCUUUGUGAGAUUAUUAUCUUCUAGUUYUUUUUUCGAAUAAAAUACAAAGGGUAGCAUUUUCUGCUUCUUCUAUCUCAUAAGUAAGGUAAAAAAUGUUAAAAAUUAACAAUCGAAA